GAGCGGGGGUGGGGUCUGAGAGGCCAACAAGAGGGAGAAGCCAAGGGGAGGGGACGCGCCCUUACUCCCCCCACCUGAAAUGGACUGAUGGGCGUGGCCUAGAUGGCGGAUGGGCGUGGCCGAAACAAGAAGGGACGGAGUGAACGAAGUCGCCCUAGCUGUGUCCGCCAGAGUGGCACCGCAGAGUUGAGCCGGUGGGCGCGGUCUAGCAGACCGAUGGGCGGUGCUGAAGCGAGGAUGGCGUGGUUUAGACAGCCCCAGCUGAGAUCCCCUUUUUGUCUCAGAACCUCUUUCUGUGUCUUCCUUCUGACGAAUGAGGUCAUUUCACCCUCCACUGCCAGGCAGUCAUCCGAGGAGCUGGAAAGAGAGCGGAAGCUUAACCUUUAACAGCCCGCAGCUUGGCAGCACCAGUUCCGAGCCAGAGAGGACAGUUUAACAAGCUGUCAUAAAGCCAGUGAGGAUCUCAGAUGGCCCAGUUAGAUCGCCAUGGUUGGAAUUUGAUCAGAGAUUGAAGUUCUCAAGUGUAUGCAAAUCUUUGCAUUGAUUAUCUG
rnacentral:lncRNA from 1 species